GAUACGCCGGUCGACACAUGCCGUCUUAUUUAGCGAAUAAAAUGGUUACUUCGAAGUGCUGACGAAAGCAGAAAGCAAGACGAUAGUCAAACAAAGGUUGAGCUAUGGGUCGCUACACCGAAAAGAACUGUCGCUUUUUAGUGAUGAUGACACUGGCGCCAACCUUCAUCGUAGUGGAGCUUGUUACUGGUAACACCACUAAGUCACUGGCCUUAGUAUCGGACUCCUUCCACAUGCUGUCUGACAUCAUUGCUUUGCUCAUCGGUUUCCUUGCCAUAAGACUCGGUUUCCUGCUCCACAACUAAACCUCCGGUCUCUACCUUCAGUUCAUCUGUGUGAUCGGUCAGAUCACUUGAUUGGU